UCCCUGGUGGUCCGCUGGCUAAGACUCUGCGCUCCCAGUGCAAAGGACUCAGGUUCAAAUCCUGGUCAGGGAG
rnacentral:tRNA from 1 species